CGGGGAAUAUUGGACAAUGGGCGCAAGCCUGAUCCAGCAAUGCCGCGUGUGUGAAGAAGGUCUUCGGAUUGUAAAGCACUUUCGGCGGGGACGAUGAUGACGGUACCCGCAGAAGAAGCCCCGGCUAACUUCGUGCCAGCAGCCGCGGCAAUACGAAGGGGGCUAGCGCUGCUCGGAAUGACUGGGCGUAAAGGGCGCGUAGGCGGUUCACGCAGUCAGAUGUGAAAUUCCUGGGCUUAACCUGGGGGCUGCAUUUGAGGCGCGUGGGCUUGAGUGUGAAAGAGGGUCGUGGAAUUCCCAGUGUAGAGGUGAAAUUCGUAGAUAUUGGGAAGAACACCGGUGGCGAAGGCGGCGACCUGGUUCAUAACUGACGCUGAGGCGCGAAAGCGUGGGGAGCAAA
rnacentral:rRNA from 1 species